GUGCUUGCCCGAAAACAACAAUGCUCCGUUAAUAGGGCCUGCCGCUUCUCCAAGUGAACCCUGCUCACCAUCUCAAGACUGCCGUGACCUACCUGUUGCUUGCCAUGAGCCGGUUUUGGCCAAUGGUCAGUCUCAUGAAGCCAGAGGAACGCCAUGCAGUUCUGCUGUUAGACGAGAUGCAAAUCACGUCGGGUCUCGUAUAUGACCAUUCGUGCCGUGAAGUCUUGGGC
rnacentral:lncRNA from 1 species